rnacentral:rRNA from 1 species
UACGUAGGGGGCAAGCGUUGUCCGGAAUCAUUGGGCGUAAAGCGCGCGUAGGCGGCCCGGUAAGUCCGCUCUGAAAGUCCAGGGCUCAACCCUGGAAAGCGGGUGGAUACUGCCGGGCUAGAAUCCGGAAGAGGCGAGUGGAAUUCCUGGUGUAGCGGUGGAAUGCGCAGAUAUCAGGAAGAACACCCGUGGCUAAGGCGGCUCUCUAGUACGGUACUGACGCUGAGACGCGAAAGCGUGGGGAGCGAACAGG